rnacentral:rRNA from 1 species
GGUUAAGCGACUAAGCGUACACGGUGGAUGCCCUGGCAGUCAGAGGCGAUGAAGGGCGUGCUAAUCUGCGAUAAGCGCCGGUAAGGUGAUAUGAACCGUUAUAACCGGCGAUACCCGAAUGGGGAAACCCAGUGUGACUCGUCACACUAUCAUUAACUGAAUCCAUAGGUUAAUGAGGCGAACCGGGGGAACUGAAACAUCUAAGUACCCCGAGGAAAAGAAAUCAACCGAGAUUCCCCCAGUAGCGGCGAGCGAACGGGGAGGAGCCCAGAGCCUGAAUCAGCAUGUGUGUUAGUGGAAGCGUCUGGAAAGGCGCGCGAUACAGGGUGACAGCCCCGUACACAAAAGCGCAUGUGCUGUGAGCUCGAUGAGUAGGGCGGGACACGUGGUAUCCUGUCUGAAUAUGGGGGGACCAUCCUCCAAGGCUAAAUACUCCUGACUGACCGAUAGUGAACCAGUACCGUGAGGGAAAGGCGAAAAGAACCCCGGCGAGGGGAGUGAAAAAGAACCUGAAACCGUGUACGUACAAGCAGUGGGAGCACAGGUUUACCUGUGUGACUGCGUACCUUUUGUAUAAUGGGUCAGCGACUUAUAUUCUGUAGCAAGGUUAACCGAAUAGGGGAGCCGGAGGGAAACCGAGUCUUAAUUGGGCGUUAAGUUGCAGGGUAUAGACCCGAAACCCGGUGAUCUAGCCAUGGGCAGGUUGAAGGUUGGGUAACACUAACUGGAGGACCGAACCGACUAAUGUUGAAAAAUUAGCGGAUGACCUGUGGCUGGGGGUGAAAGGCCAAUCAAACCGGGAGAUAGCUGGUUCUCCCCGAAAGCUAUUUAGGUAGCGCCUCGUGAAUUCAUCUCCGGGGGUAGAGCACUGUUUCGGCUAGGGGGCCAUCCCGGCUU